GGAAAGGUGUCCGAGUCCGGCUUAAGGGGCACGCCUGGAAAGCGUGUGUGGGGCAACUCACCGAGGGUUCGAAUCCCUCCCUUUCCG
rnacentral:tRNA from 1 species